GGAAGUAAAAGUCGUAACAAGGUUUCCGUAGGUGAACCUGCGGAAGGAUCAUUAUCGAGUUUUGAACGGGUUGUCGCUGGCCUCUCACGAGGCAUGUGCACGCCUGGCUCAUCCACUCUUAACCUCUGUGCACUUUAUGUAAGAGAAAAAAAUGGUGGAAGCUUCCAGGAUCUCGCGAGAGGUCUUCGGUUGAACAAGCCGUUUUUCUUUCUUAUGUUUUACUACAAACGCUUCAGUUAUGGAAUGUCAACUGUGUAUAACACAUUUAUAUACAACUUUCAGCAACGGAUCUCUUGGCUCUCGCAUCGAUGAAGAACGCAGCGAAAUGCGAUAAGUAAUGUGAAUUGCAGAAUUCAGUGAAUCAUCGAAUCUUUGAACGCACCUUGCACUCCUUGGUAUUCCGAGGAGUAUGCCUGUUUGAGUCUCAUGGUAUUCUCAACCCCUAAAUUUUUGUAAUGAAGGUUUAGCGGGCUUGGACUUGGAGGUUGUGUCGGCCCUUGUCGGUCGACUCCUCUGAAAUGCAUUAGCGUGAAUCUUACGGAUCGCCUUCAGUGUGAUAAUUAUCUGCGCUGUGGUGUUGAAGUAUUUAUGGUGUUCAUGCUUCGAACCGUCUCCUUGCCGAGACAAUCAUUUGACAAUCUGAGCUCAAAUCAGGUAGGACUACCCGCUGAACUUAAGCAUAUCAAUAAGCGGAGGA
rnacentral:rRNA from 1 species